ACGAACGCUGGCGGCGCGCCUAACACAUGCAAGUCGAACGAGAGAGAGGGAGCUUGCUUCCUCAAUCGAGUGGCGAACGGGUGAGUAACGCGUGAGGAACCUGCCUCAAAGAGGGGGACAACAGUUGGAAACGACUGCUAAUACCGCAUAAGCCCACGGCUCGGCAUCGAGCAGAGGGAAAAGGAGCAAUCCGCUUUGAGAUGGCCUCGCGUCCGAUUAGCUAGUUGGUGAGGUAAUGGCCCACCAAGGCGACGAUCGGUAGCCGGACUGAGAGGUUGAACGGCCACAUUGGGACUGAGACACGGCCCAGACUCCUACGGGAGGCAGCAGUGGGGAAUAUUGCACAAUGGGGGAAACCCUGAUGCAGCGACGCCGCGUGGAGGAAGAAGGUCUUCGGAUUGUAAACUCCUGUUGUUGAGGAAGAUAAUGACGGUACUCAACAAGGAAGUGACGGCUAACUACGUGCCAGCAGCCGCGGUAAAACGUAGGUCACAAGCGUUGUCCGGAAUUACUGGGUGUAAAGGGAGCGCAGGCGGGCGAUCAAGUUGGAAGUGAAAUCCAUGGGCUCAACCCAUGAACUGCUUUCAAAACUGAUUGUCUUGAGUAGUGCAGAGGUAGGCGGAAUUCCCGGUGUAGCGGUGGAAUGCGUAGAUAUCGGGAGGAACACCAGUGGCGAAGGCGGCCUACUGGGCACCAACUGACGCUGAGGCUCGAAAGUGUGGGUAGCAAACAGGAUUAGAUACCCUGGUAGUCCACACCGUAAACGAUGAUUACUAGGUGUUGGAGGAUUGACCCCUUCAGUGCCGCAGUUAACACAAUAAGUAAUCCACCUGGGGAGUACGACCGCAAGGUUGAAACUCAAAGGAAUUGACGG
rnacentral:rRNA from 1 species